rnacentral:lncRNA from 1 species
GGGUUAUACCAGGUUGCUCUAUAUGAUUUCUUAAAAAAGAAAAAGAAAAAUAAAAGCAAGAAGAUGAACUCCUUGAAAAGGUUCGGAAGGAUAAAUGUUGCACAGCAAGAGGUGCGAUUUGUUGUGAUUUCCAAUUCAAAUGGAGGAACUUUAAAGAUAUAUUCAAUCGAUCAAGAUCGUAUGAAGCUGCGAUUUUAACAGGUAAAAAUUAGGGUUAUAUUUUUGGAGAAGACGAAAAUCCUUUGGGGUGGAAGAGUUUACAUCUUUAAUACGUUUAGCAUUUAACCUUUGAUUGUUAUGCAAAAUUACAUCCCGAAUUUGUCUUCUGUAUCUUCUAAAAUUUAUAAUUCCCGCUAAUGUAAUUUCAUUUUGGGAUUUCAAAGUUCCUGCUUGGUUCGAGUACAUUAGUCUUUUCUUAUUUUCUCAUCUGUUAAAAUCCGUUUCUUGACGUUUUAAGUUUCGUUUUUCAGUUCAACUUGAUUCCACUUUGUCAAGCUCUGGUGAAUUUCUUGUCUUUGUUUAUUAUUCUUUAAUGGGUUUAUUUUGGGAUUUUGUGUUUUCUUGACUAAAUUUACAGAAAACAAUGCUGCAGUUAUUUAGUUUUAGAUAAAACUUUAUAAUAAAUUACAUAAAAAGAUCUUUGUCCUUUGAAGAGCAAAGCUUUAAAUAAAUCAUCACACUUUUGGUUCCUAUUUUACCCUCAUGUUUUUGAAUCAAUGAAAAAAUGGAUUUGAAAACACAGGUCCUAGGCAAUGGCCACCAUCAGUUGGUGGUGGCUGGUGGUGUGAGUUUGAAUGAACAUCAAUUGGGAACCAAAAUAAAAUAUAAAACUUAUUUCCCAAGAACAAAUCAAGGAAUUGGUAAAUUACUUACUUUUCAACUAAUGAAUGAAAAAUAAUAAUCAAAGUCAUACCAUUUAUAGCAUCCAACUGCAUCAUAUAUUCAUAUUAGGGGGUAUUUUGGGUACUUUCGGGCCAAAAGAAAAAAAACCCCAAAAAAGUAAGUAAUAACCAUUAUGUAUAAGAUUUUUUUUUAUCAAACAAACUUGUAUUUUGAUUGAUAAAUGUAAUGUUCAUCACAUAUGUAUUUCUUCAUCAGAAUGUAAUGUUCAUCAAAUAUUUAUUUCUUCAAAAUUGUAUUUCGAUUGGCAAAAUUGCAUAACAAUCAUAUAUCUUGAUUCGUUAUUUUUCCAAAUUUAUUGAUCUUCUUUUCUAUGUUUUUAGCGAAUUUUGUUAGUCAAAUUAGCUAAAAGUGAUGUGCAUUGUUACAGAUCCAAAACAACUAAUUUUCGGUUUAUAGCACUUGUUUUCUUGAAACUUUUCAAUUUCAAGUCGAAUUUGAAGGUGGAAAGUUAGUUCCUUUGCAUACACCCUUUCAACUUUUUUACAUAAGUUAUUUAACCAAUUCCAUAUAAAUAUAUCGUACAUCCCCCUUAUUUCCUCUUUGUUCAAUCAACAUUUGUCUAUGAACUCUAACUAAUGGCAGUAAGAAUUAAUAUUGAUUUCAGGUGUAGAAGUUCAUAAUUGGAGUUGCCCUAUUUUUUACAUACCAAAAUCAGAUUAUAAACAUGUAAUAUUGUUAUACUACAAUGUCUUGUCAAAAAUCACAGUACCUUUUUACUACAUGCAAAAAUACAUCACAUUACUUAAAAAUACAUAAAUACCAUUUUACAUAAAUAAUUACAUUUACCAUUUCAUGCUAUUACAUUGUCUUUUUAUGAAAACGACAAAUAUGUGGUAUUCUUUUGGUUGUAUACUUUUAACAAUGUACUUUUGGUGUGUCACUAAUUGUUACAUAAAUGUUCACUGUCACGGUUUACACUUUGGGAAAUGGUCAAUGUGACUGUAAAAUUUAACAGAAAUGGUCCAUGUGUCAGUAAAUUAUUACAAAAAUGGUAUGUCCAUGUUACAGAAUUGGUUUCUGUAACAAUAAACUAUCAAAGUGACCAUUUAAUUCAUGAACGAUGUAUAAAACGAAAAAUUAUGUUAUAUAUAUAUAUAUAUAAGGGACAAAAUGGUCAAGUUAACAGUAACAGUUUGCAUGGGCAAAAUGGUUAACUUGACAAUUCCCAGGGACAAAUAUGAUUAAAUAAAUGAAAAAAAUUAAACUUUCUGUUAGAAGAGUUUUACAAAAGAAAAAUGCAUUGCUAUAAUAUCAUAAUAAUACAAUAUGAAAAGUAGACUACCUUUUUUGCCCAGUCCCAGAAAAUUUAAAAGAAAUCAUAAUUAUAACAUUAUACUUUAAUAGCAAUGUACUUUAUUUUAUGCAUUCAAUAGAAAAAGAGGACAUGUGAUGCGUAAAGGAAAUUACAUAAAUUUUAAUUAAGCAUUAAAUGUUUAGGAAAAAGUUAUAUGAAACAAAAAACAAAGUAAGAUGUUAUAAUUAAAAAAAUUUGGAGCAUAAUGAUAUCAUUUUAUAAGAAGUUACAAAAAACCAAAGUAGGAUUCCAUAUUAGGACAAAUGCAAUAAAAAAAAGACAUAACGACAUGCUUAACAAUCCUACAACUUUCAAUUGUAGAAUCAGAGAAAUCGUCCCUUUCCAUAGAAAUGACGAUAAAUGGUACCUGUUUAAGAAAUUAACAAAAUGAUAGAAACAGAUGGAAUAGAUUUAAAAAAAACACUUUAUGUAUAAUCGAUUAUUGAUUGGUUGUUGCAGGAUCCUGAUAAUGAAUUUUAUCAAAAAUCAGUUGAAGAGGCUGCAAAGGUACAUUGCUGCAGGCAAUUGAAUCACAUGAAGAAAUUUAAUUAGAAAUCCAGGGUAAGGGUAGUUAUCGUAUGAAGGUAUUAAAAAAACAUACCUGCUGUGUUGUACUUGCAUGAAGAGAUGUAAUAGAAACAGGAAGAAAAAACAUGAAGAAGACGAAUCACGAAAAUGUGAAGGGUAUGUUAUCGUAUGAAGGUAUAUAUUCGUAGAUUAUUUGUAUUUGUAGCUAAUAAUAUGCAAAUCGUCCAAAUUUAUUAAUAUAUUGGGAGAUAUUAUCUUUAUCAUGUUAAAUAAGGAUGUGAUUGUAACCUGUCAUAUGAAUUACCGGAUUAUUAGGUGUACAACGUUAUUUUCUUUUUGAAAUACCUUAUUUAAAGGGUUGUAGGUGAUGUUAUUAAAAAAUUCAAAUUUUAAUAUGUGAUGUUAUUAAAAAUUCAAAUUUUAAUACCGGAUUCUAUGGAUGACAGGCUGUUGAUUACGAUCAAAAGCUGGUUAAUUUAAGCAUGUUCGAUAUCUAAAUUGAUUUUCAAUUUCAAUUUAAAUGCAGGAAUGCAUGAACAGAGAUAGAGAUGAGUAAACCGAAAUUGUCCCAAAAUCGGCUGCUAAAUUGUAGGGAAUCAGAUUUGGUAUUGAAAGUGAUUGAAAUUAAUUGAAUGGGCGGGAAAAAAGUGGGUAAAUAGGUGGAGAGAAUGACACGUGGCAUCUUGCUUGUGUAUAAGAUGGACACGUGGCGUUUAAGGGAGGUUUUUAUUAAGUACUAGGUGUGAGACCCAUGUAUUACAUGAGUUAUUUAAAAAAAAUAAAUAUAAAAUUUUAACAAUUUGAAAAGUUUGAAUUUAUAACAAAAAUGAGAAAAUUUUUGAAUUAUUAAAAUUAAUGAGGCUUUAAUGUAUUGAAUACAUUACAUAUAUAAACCCUUUCUAAUAAAUACUUUACAUAUAUAUUACCUUAUAUAUUAAAUAUGGAAUUUUAAUUUAAUAAAAUGAAAAAUACAAUAAAAUGACAAGUGAAAAAUAAAAAAUUUAAAAAAAUCAAGAAAAUGACAAGUAUCAAAAUUAAUGAGAGGUUGACAUGUGACAAAAAAAACCUUCAUUUAUUAAGGAGGAUGGAUACACAGCCAAAAGGUAGGCGUUGUUUUGCUUAAUGACACCAACAAAGUUGUAAAUUUUGUCCAUUUAUAUAUUAACACAAUAGAGAUUAAACAUGAAACGUCGUCUAUAUUGGGUACGAAGUGUUAUAAAUCAACAACAUAUCCCUACAUAUAUAAGAGAAUCGAAUAUGUUUGCUUCAUGCUAUAGUCUUGUGGUUGUUUCACCAGAAAAUGAAAGAAGAUAUAUGUCUAAAUUCUAUGGCCAGUCCACAUUUAUUAAGGCUACUUUCUCAUUGGCUGGAUUGACAUUUUAUAUUAUUUAUUGCUUUAUUAUCAUGCUGGAUAAUCACAUAAAUGAUGGAAAAACUUAGGAAACUUGUUUCUAUGAUGGGUCUUGCUUACAAAAAGAAUCAUUUAUGAAGGGAGAAACAUGAUGUCCAAAAACUAUAAAUGAGAUGUUAUGAAGAGAACAUGCUCAACAGAUGUCUUUUAUUAUAUCCCGUUAUGUUUUACAUAUAUUUGUUUUUUAAUAUUACUCCUCUUUUACUUACACUCAUGAUCUAUUCAUAUUUGCCACAUACGCACUAGUGCUUUUCAGGUUGCAUCCUGCAUAGUUAUAUUAAAGAUUUUUAAUGUGACCUUACAAGUCUAUAUCUAGACCUACUAUAUAUAUAUUUUUGGAAACAACCAAUGGAAUUAAUAAACCGAAGCCAAGCAAGUAGCUGGACAAGAGCAGAACAUACAAACAAGGAUUCUGAUCAAGAAACAAAAAACAGGGAAGUCACAUAAGGGAGAAACAUUCCAUUCAUCCCAACUACAAAUACCCAUUUUGCCCCUGCACUUAAUCCAUGUGUAUGUUGAUGACUUAAUGACGAUCCACCCCUUUAGUUGGAUUGAUAAAGAGAUGCUCAAAUACUCUGUUAUUCCUGAACUUCCAUAACCCCCAUAUUAGACCGUAACAGAUGAUUAGAAACCUCCUGCGUUUUUUCACACACCUACCCCACGACUCAGCAAAUUCUAAUAAAUCUUGGACACUGUAGGAGCUACAUACAUUAACCCCACACCAACUGAAUAAUUUUNAUUAAAAAAUUCAAAUUUUAAUAUGUGAUGUUAUUAAAAAUUCAAAUUUUAAUACCGGAUUCUAUGGAUGACAGGCUGUUGAUUACGAUCAAAAGCUGGUUAAUUUAAGCAUGUUCGAUAUCUAAAUUGAUUUUCAAUUUCAAUUUAAAUGCANNNNNNNNNNNNNNNNNNNNNNNNNNNNNNNNNNNNNNNNNNNNNNNNNCCCAAAAUCGGCUGCUAAAUUGUAGGGAAUCAGAUCUGGUAUUGAAAGUGAUUGAAAUUAAUUGAAUGGGCGGGAAAAAAGUGGGUAAAUAGGUGGAGAGAAUGACACGUGGCAUCUUGCUUGUGUAUAAGAUGGACACGUGGCGUUUAAGGGAGGUUUUUAUUAAGUACUAGGUGUGAGACCCAUGUAUUACAUGAGUUAUUUAAAAAAAAUAAAUAUAAAAUUUUAACAAUUUGAAAAGUUUGAAUUUAUAACAAAAAUGAGAAAAUUUUUGAAUUAUUAAAAUUAAUGAGGCUUUAAUGUAUUGAAUACAUUACAUAUAUAAACCCUUUCUAAUAAAUACUUUACAUAUAUAUUACCUUAUAUAUUAAAUAUGGAAUUUUA